rnacentral:rRNA from 1 species
AACGAACGCUGGCGGCAGGCUUAACACAUGCAAGUCGAACGCAUCCUUCGGGGUGAGUGGCAGACGGGUGAGUAACACGUGGGAACGUGCCUUUAGGUUCGGAAUAGCUCCUGGAAACGGGUGGUAAUGCCGAAUGUGCCCUUAGGGGGAAAGAUUUAUCGCCUUUAGAGCGGCCCGCGUCUGAUUAGCUAGUUGGUGAGGUAAUGGCUCACCAAGGCUACGAUCAGUAGCUGGUCUGAGAGGAUGACCAGCCACAUUGGGACUGAGACACGGCCCAAACUCCUACGGGAGGCAGCAGUGGGGAAUCUUGCGCAAUGGGCGAAAGCCUGACGCAGCCAUGCCGCGUGGAUGAUGAAGGUCUUAGGAUUGUAAAAUCCUUUCACCGGUGAAGAUAAUGACUGUAGCCGGAGAAGAAGCCCCGGCUAACUUCGUGCCAGCCGCCGCGGUAA